UACGAAGGGGACUAGCGUUGUUCGGAAUUACUGGGCGUAAAGCGCACGUAGGCGGAUUUGUUAGUCAGGGGUGAAAUCCCGGGGCUCAACCUCGGAACUGCCUUUGAUACUGCAAGUCUCGAGUCCGAUAGAGGUGGGUGGAAUUCCUAGUGUAGAGGUGAAAUGCGUAGAUAUUGGGAGGAACGCCAGUGGCGAAGGCGGUCCCCUGGGCCGGAACUGACGCUCAGGCACGAAAGCGUGGGGAGCAAACAGG
rnacentral:rRNA from 1 species